rnacentral:piRNA from 1 species
UGAGAUUACAUGGUCUCCUGCCUAGUCAA